rnacentral:rRNA from 1 species
CCUACGGGCGGCAGCAGUGAGGAAUAUUGGUCAAUGGACGAGAGUCUGAACCAGUCAAGUAGCGUGAAGGAUGACUGCCUUAUGGGUUGUAAACUUCUUUUAUAUGGGAAUAAAAUGUUCCACGUGUGGGAUUUUGUAUGUACCAUAUGAAUAAGGAUCGGCUAACUCCGUGCCAGCAGCCGCGGUAAUACGGAGGAUCCGAGCGUUAUCCGGAUUUAUUGGGUUUAAAGGGAGCGUAGGUGGAUUGUUAAGUCAGUUGUGAAAGUUUGCGGCUCAACCGUAAAAUUGCAGUUGAAACUGGCAGUCUUGAGUACAGUAGAGGUGGGCGGAAUUCGUGGUGUAGCGGUGAAAUGCUUAGAUAUCACGAAGAACUCCGAUUGCGAAGGCAGUUCACUGGACUGCAACUGACACUGAGGCUCGAAAGUGUGGGUAUCAAACAGGAUUAGAUACCCCUGUAGUC